UGUCUANGUACAGAGACUCGUAUUCUGNNACCGCGGAUGGCUCAUUAUAACAGCUAUGAUUUGAGAGAAAUAAACUUUGUUGCCACAAGAUAACUGUGGUAAUUCUAGAGCUAAUAUUUUAAAGAAUGCUGUGACUUCGAAANCAGCGAAUUUAUUAGAUUAAAACUAACUUGUCCGUUAAAGAGGCAGUUAAUUUGAUGAAUCUGGAUAACUUUAUCUGAUCGCACAAACUUGUUKUGACGACGAAUCUCNUGAAAUGGCUGACCUAUCAACUUUCGAUGGUAAGAUCAAAGCUUACCAYGGUUGUAACGGGGAACGGGGAAUCACUGUUCGAUUCCKGAAAGRGAGCCUGAGAAACCGCUACCCCAYCCACGGAAGGCGGCAGGCGCGUAAAUUACCCNAUACCGGCUCGGUGAGGUAGUGACAAAAAAAAACNAUAUGGGCCCNAGUGGUUUCAUAAUUGSAAUGAGAAAUAUUUUAAAUACUUUAUCAAGUAUCRAUYGGAGGGCAAGUMUGGUGCCAGCACCCGCGCGUAAUUCCMGCUCCAYAMGCGUAUAUUAAAGUUGUUGCAGUUARAAAGCUCGUAGUUGAAAUUCGGGAAUAUAAAUGGGUKGAAAUCUUCUAGAUUGAAAUUCAUUUGUUCCUUAUAUGUCGUGUAUAUCUUUGAGGUACUUUAUUGUAUUUGAUUGAUAACCGACUAGUUUACUUUGAAAAAAUUAGAGUGCUUAAAGCAKGCAAAUGCUUGUAUGUUGUUGCAUGGAAUAAUGAAAUAUGACUUCGGUUUUAUUUUGGUGGUUUUAGAAACUGAAGUAAUGAUUAAAAGAGACUGCCGGGGGCAUUUGUAUGCUGGUGUUAGAGGUGAAAUUYUUAGAUCAUCAGCAGACAGACUACUGCGAAAGCAUUUGCCAAGAAUGUUUUCAUUAAUCAAGAACGAAAGUCAGAGGAUCGAAGACGAUCAGAUACCGUCCUAGUUCUGACCAUAAACUAUGCCAACUGACAGUUAGCUAAGGUAUUUUCAAAUGAUCCUUGCUAGAAGUCACCGGGAAACCAAAGUCUAUGGGUUCCGGGGGAAGUAUGGUUGCAAAGCUGAAACUUAAAGGAAUUGACGGAAGGGCACCACAAGGAGUGGAGCCUGCGGCUUAAUUUGACUCAACACGGGAAAUCUCACCCGGUCCGGACACUGUGAGGAUUGACAGAUUGAUAGCUCUUUCUUGAUUCGGUGGGUAGUGGUGCAUGGCCGUUCUUAGUUGGUGGAGCGAUUUGUCUGGUUAAUUCCCGAUAACGAACGAGACUCGAMCCUGCUAAAUAGUAUAUCUGUGUUAAAUCGCAGAUACUGACUUCUUAGAGGAAUAAAUAGCGUUUAGCUAAAUGAAAAUGACCAAUAACAGNUCUGUGAUGCCYUUAGAUGUCCGGGNNCGCNCGCGCGCUCCAAUGUCAGUAACAACKAGUAUGUUCCUUGCCAGAAAUGGUUGGGUAACCUGUUGAAUCACUGUCGUAUCAGGAAUAGUGGUUUGAAAUUUUUCCACUUGAACGAGGAAUUCCUAGUAAGCGCAAGUCACUAACUUGCGCUGAUUACGUCCCUGCCCUUUGUACACACCGCCCGUCGCUACUACCGAUUGAAUGGUUUAGUGAGAUUGUUGGAUUCUAAUCUAAGAAAUGGCAACAUUUCU
rnacentral:rRNA from 1 species